rnacentral:rRNA from 1 species
UACGUAGGUGGCAAGCGUUAUCCGGAAUUACUGGGCGUAAAGCGCACGCAGGCGGUCUUGUAAGUUUGACGUGAAAGCUCCCGGCUUAACUGGGAGAGGUCGUUGAAGACUGCAAGACUUGAGGAAAUGAGAGGGGCGUAGAAUUCCCGGUGUAGUGGUGGAAUGCGUAGAUAUCGGGGGGAAUACCAGUGGCGAAGGCGGGUUGCUGGGCUGACACUGACGCUGAUUGUGCGAAAGCUAGGGGAGCGAACGGG